GGGGAAUAUUGCGCAAUGGGGGAAACCCUGACGCAGCAAUACCGCGUGAGUGAAGAAGGUUUUCGGAUCGUAAAGCUCUGUUAUUGGGGCAGAAAAAAAGACGGUACCCAAGCAGAAAGUCCCGGCUAACUACGUUCCAGCAGCCGCGGUAAUACGUAGGGAGCAAGCGUUGUCCGGAUUUACUGGGUGUAAAGGGUGCGUAGGCGGCCCUGCAAGUCAGGCGUGAAAGGCGGAGGCUUAACCUCCGAGCUGCGUUUGAAACUGCGGGGCUUGAGUGGAGCAGAGGCAGGCGGAAUUCCCGGUGUAGCGGUGAAAUGCGUAGAGAUCGGGAGGAACACCAGUGGCGAAGGCGGCCUGCUGGGCUUUAACUGACGCUGAAGCACGAAAGCAUGGGUAGCAAACA
rnacentral:rRNA from 2 species